GUCUUCGUGGUUUAAUGAUCAGCACGCUCGACUGGUAACCGAAAGGUCUGUGGUUCGAUUCCCGACGUAGGCG
rnacentral:tRNA from 1 species